GUAAUCUCUUUGGUUGGAACGGAAGUUAUAAGAGUUGAUUGAAGCAGAAGUAGCUCUUUUUCUACCUUCAACGAGGAUCUGUGUACCUCUUAAGGUAAAAAUAAGUCAAAAUGACCAACUCCAAAGGGUAUCGCCGAGGGACAAGAGACUUGUUCUCUCGCAAGUUCAGGCGACAUGGAGUCAUCCCUCUGUCUACUUACAUGAAAG